rnacentral:rRNA from 1 species
ACGGGUGAGUAACACGUAUCCAACCUGCCGUCUACUCUUGGACAGCCUUCUGAAAGGAAGAUUAAUACAAGAUGGCAUCAUGAGUCCGCAUGUUCACAUGAUUAAAGGUAUUCCGGUAGACGAUGGGGAUGCGUUCCAUUAGAUAGUAGGCGGGGUAACGGCCCACCUAGUCUUCGAUGGAUAGGGGUCCUGAGAGGAAGGUCCCCCACAUUGGAACUGAGACACGGUCCAA